rnacentral:rRNA from 1 species
AGAGUUUGAUCAUGGCUCAGAUUGAACGCUGGCGGCGUGCCUAACACAUGCAAGUCGAGCGGUAACAGGUGUAGCAAUACAUGCUGACGAGCGGCGAACGGGUGAGUAAUGCUUCGGAAUCUACCCUCUAGUGGGGAAUAACCAGCCGAAAGGUUGGCUAAUACCGCAUACGUCCUACGGGAGAAAGCAGGGGAUCGUAAGACCUUGCGCUGAUGGAUGAGCCGAAGUCGGAUUAGCUAGUUGGUGAGGUAACGGCUCACCAAGGCGACGAUCCGUAGCUGGUCUGAGAGGACGACCAGCCACACUGGGACUGAGACACGGCCCAGACUCCUACGGGAGGCAGCAGUGGGGAAUAUUGAACAAUGGGGGCAACCCUGAUCCAGCGACGCCGCGUGUGUGAAGAAGGCCUGCGGGUUGUAAAGCACUUUUAGUGGGGAUGAAAUGUGCAGGGUUAAUACCUCUGCAUUUUGACCUAACCCACAGAAAAAGCACCGGCUAACUCUGUGCCAGCAGCCGCGGUAAUACAGAGGGUGCAAGCGUUAAUCGGAAUUACUGGGCGUAAAGCGUGCGCAGACGGUUAUAUAAGUCGGGUGUGAAAGCCCCGGGCUCAACCUGGGAAUUGCAUUCGAGACUGUGCAGCUAGGGUACGGAAGAGGGAAGCGGAAUUUCAGGUGUAGCGGUGAAAUGCGUAGAUAUCUGAAGGAACACCAGUGGCGAAAGCGGCUUCCUGGUCCAGUACCGACGUUCAGGCACGAAAGCGUGGGGAGCAAACAGGAUUAGAUACCCUAGUAGUCC